rnacentral:lncRNA from 1 species
AUUUGACUGGGACUCCCCCAUGGAGAGAAGUCCUCCCAGGUCCUCUGCAAGGGGCAUCUGUUCCUUGGCUAUGGACAUGCCCUAAAGUGCCAGGUGGACGGAAGAGCUCCUGGGACCAGCAGGUUGGGAGCAUCAAUUCACGUUGGCUAGAAAUGUGACUUCUUUAGUAUUUACCAUUUUAACAAAAUCCAUGAUAAGGGAUUUGGAAGGUCCCAUGGAAAGGAUGAAAUGACACCUCUCUGCUACCCAGUUUCUUUAAGACCUCUACGGUUGAGAAGAGAGGACAAAGGAACACCCCCACCUCUGCCAUCCUCCGAGGGAUUUUUCACAGCAAUUCCAGUGCUGCUCAGUGGAAAGCUCUGCAAGUCAACUGCAAACCCCCAGCCCCAGAUGUUAGGCAUUUACAUCCUCUGCAAUUUUGGGGACAGGAGCAAACACAAGCUUAAGUCACCACGCAGGCUGCAACCCUUACCCAAAGAUGGGGGAAAAACUCCAAAGGAGAUGCAGGAGGGAGCCUCAGCAGUCACUGUGAGAGCACAAAGAGGCCAAGACCCAGGGUAGGCAAAGGAAGGUGAGAGGCACCAGCAGGGCAGGAGGAGGAGCCAGCUAUAAACAUGCAGGCUUCCCGCCCCCUGCAUAGCAAGCUAUGGAAGGAAGCUCCAGCAAGAUUCAUGUCUAAGCUUUUCAAGUUAAAGGCUUGCCUACAUCUACAGUGAACGGUGUCUGAACAACUUUUUGAGGGAAUAAGGCAGAAUUUCUCCCUUAUGCGGAUAACAAAAGAGCUAGCCAUCCUGAAAACUUGCCACAUCGUAAUUUUCAGAGAUGGUCAGUCUCUCAGAAGAAUCCUUGCAAUUAGCUAUCAGAACCUGUCCAGUUCGGCAUGUGAGAAGGUAAUCCAGGGCAUCAUCGAGAGGAAGGGGCAUCAGGAUUCAUGGACAACAAAAAAAUCUCUGAUUCCUCCAAAAGGCGUGUGGGUCACUGAGCUCCGGAAGAGGCUGCCUCCACCAGGUCUCAUUUCACGUUGGGAGGUUACAGCGUGGGUCUUGUUUCCUUGGCUUUCCCCCAUCUAAUCCCAAAGCCAAGGUCACAACCUCUUAGCAAUGGGGUGACAAUCUCAUAUAGAGCUGCAAUCAACAGCCAUUCUUGCCAAGCUGAUAUUAACAUUUCUUUUUUCUUUUUGAUGUUACACACAAUCCUGUCCUUGCUGUACCAGAAAGCCAUUUCACCCAUCUGUCUGGGAAGAUGAUCCAAUUUUGGUGCUUUUAUCAUCAAUGCUUUCAGCAACUUUGUUCUACUUCCCCUACUGUAAUUACUUUUGAAUCAUCAACGCACCCAGACAGCCUUAAACCUCAGAGAACAGAAUGCUAAAAAAAGAAAAAAAAAACCCGCAAUGGCAAGUAACUUCACUAAAUAGCCACCCAAGCUAGGAGCAAUUUGUUUCUUUCCAGAAAUUUACUUAUUAAUAAUAAGUACCUCACACUCCUUCUUCCCCUUUUUCCAAAGGCAGGCAAGGCAUGGAGAUGGGAUGUUGUGGAGAGGACGGAGUGGGGAGAAGAAGGAACUCCAAAAGGAGCCAAUUAAAACAUCUGCUUCCCCAGUC